ensembl:miRNA
ACAUAGGCCGUUAUGAUACAGCCUGAUAAGUGUUACAGCACUUACCAGGUUGUACCGUAACUGUCCGUGUA